AGCUCCAAUAGCGUAUAUUAAAGUUGUUGCGGUUAAAAAGCCCGUAGUUGGAUUUCUGUUGGGGACGACCGGUCCGCCCUCUGGGUGAGUAUCUGGCUUGGCCUUAGCAUCCUCUUGGAGAACGUAGCUGCGCUUGACUGUGUGGUGCGGAAUCCAGGAUUUUUAUUUUGAUGAAAUUAGAAUGUUUCAAGCAGGCUUCCGCCUUGAAUACAUUGGCAUGGAAUAAUACGAUAGGACUUUGGUUCUAGUUUGUUGGUUUCUAGAACUGAGGUAAUGAUUAGUCGGGAUAGUUGGGGGCAUUCGUAUUUAAUUGUCAGAGGUGAAAUUCUUGGAUUUGUUAAAGACGGACUACUGCGA
rnacentral:rRNA from 1 species